UACCCAAUUAAAUUAGAAGCUAAGAAGGGUGUUGCUCCUUUGAUAACUCAGUUUCUGGCACAAGGGAUGCUGCAGGAAUGUGAAUCAGAAUUUAAUACUCCUAUUUUUCCAGUUAAGAAACCAAAUGGUAAGUAUCGGUUAGUGCAGGAUCUAAGGGCAAUUAAUAAUAUUGUUAAAGACAUUCACCCAGUGGUUGCCAAUCCGUAUACUCUAUUAACAUCUGUGUCAGAAAAAUUUAAAUGGUUUUCUGUUAUUGAUUUGAAAGAUGCUUUCUUCUGCAUCCCUCUGGCAUUAGAAAGUAGAAAAUAUUUUGCAUUUGAAUGGAAAAGUCCUGACACUGGAAGAAAGAGACAGCUCACCUGGUCUCGGCUGCCUCAAGGUUUCAAAAACAGUCCUACGAUAUUUGGAAAUCAAUUGGCAAAGGAAUUAGAAGAGUGGAAGACUGCUGAGUGAGCAGGAAGAAGGAGAACUAGCACAUGACUGCAUGGAGGUGAUUGAACAGGUGUAUGCCAGCCGAAUUGAUUUGAAAGAUGUCCCAAUGGAAAACCCGGAUUGGGAACUGUUUACCGACGGGUCCAGCUUUGUGGAAAAUGG